rfam:Pelobacter propionicus DSM 2379, complete genome.
CGCCAAGAACCACGAGGACAGUCUCCCCUUGUGGAUCGGGCAAAAUUCAUGAUCAAGGAG